UACGUAGGGGGCAAGCGUUGUCCGGAUUUAUUGGGCGUAAAGAGCUCGUAGGCGGUUCCGUAAGUCGGGUGUGAAAAAUCUGGGCUCAACCCAGUGGAGCACCCGAUACUGCGGUGACUCGAGUCCGGUAGGGGAGUGUGGAAUUCCUGGUGUAGCGGUGAAAUGCGUAGAGAUCGGGAGGAACACCAGUGGCGAAGGCGGCUCACUGGACCGGCAUUGACGCUGAGGUGCGAAAGCGUGGGGAGCGAACAGG
rnacentral:rRNA from 1 species